CCUCUGCUGCCUGAUCCCCGCCCUAUCACACGAGGAGCCGCUUUCAGUGCAGAGCUCGGGGCUCAGCUAAAGCGCGACGUCCCUGCCGUGACACCCCCUCACAAGCCACGGGUGGAUCAGAGCUCGGGUCGCUGUGUUGUGAUGAAGCAGCUGUGUCAUCCCCACUUAGGUGUUAUACACACACCCCUUAGCCGCUUCGGGGCCUUUAGAGCCCGCCUGGGAAAGGGCUGGGCUAACAUGCUCCUAGCUUCCCCUCAGCCUGGCGUGGACGGGGCGAGGUAGGCGCGGGGCUGAGCGGGCUCUGAGCUCGCCGCCCCUUGUGGCUGGAGCGCUGCGGAAGGAGUCGGGAGGCGAGGAAUGCCGGGGAAGGGCCAUUUAGCGCCCUGCCCUCCGAACAGAGAUUGUGACCCCCCCCAGGGGCCACCUGUUCCUGGGCGUCUUCUAGUGCGAGCUCAGGGGAGAUGCCUGACCUGUGGUGGAGGCUCUCUGGAAGAAACUCCAGGAAGACAGAGUAAGGGAUGAACAUGCCAGUCCAGUUUGGUGGACAUAAUACCUCAGAAGGGGUGGACUGUGUUUUUGCCAGAGGACUAAAUUAAUAUGCUGGCAAAGGGGAUGGAGCAGGAGCUGACGCAGUGGCUACACCUGAUGAUAGAAAGGUUGCAAUGUCCUGGUUUGUGUACAAGUGUAACACUGCCCUCUACUGGAUGGAAUAUGUCAGAUGUGCCUGCUUAUGUAAAACAGAUCCUUCUAUUGACUGAGCUAAAGUAGCACUGCUACUACUAAGCCAUCCAGUCUGUCUUGUGAGACAAUUCAGAGAGAACUACAGGAGUCUUGCAGUCAGAGAAAAAUCAAAAGAAAAAGGAUUAUUUGAUUUUCACCAUAUGGAGGUGUACCAUACAGAACUACCAGCUACACUUAUUCUAACUAGUAUCUAUUUCCUGUCCUUACUAGCUUGAUUAUAUAUUCAUACAAAUAUUGUUAGUAUAUAAUUGAUUUGAUGAGCCAAAUUCACCUGGUGAACUCAACUGACUGAGUCUAGUUACACAAGAGAUUAAUUUAGCCACUGAGUUUACACCAAACAACAACCUGCAAUUUAAACAGCAAAUUAUAGUAAAAUUCUUUGCAUAAGGAUUAUUUAUAACUCAUUUACUAGGAUGAAUAAUAGUAGCACACUGCUACUAUUUACAUGUUGAGCAUAACUGCAAGUUUUUAUUAGAAAAUGCCACUCAUCUAGAUCUUUCAUCAUUUGGCUACCUCCCUGACUUUAGCUUCUAAAUCGAUCUGUCACAUAUGAAAACCAACAAUAUCAAGCAGCAUUAUUGUUUUCUUAUAGGUUUAUUUUCUUGUCAUUCGAAAGUGACUCCUACCAUUGUAACAGAAAUUACGGAUACUGACUUCUUUCUACCAACAAUAUGACCAAAAAAAGACAGUUGCCUUCUUAGGGAUCCUUUAAGAAGUCAAAGCAAACUUAAAAUAUUAAUGAUACAUUUCAGGACCUGAAAGAACUAAAAGUUGUAUAGAUACUGAAGUAAUGAUGGGAGAGAAGUGAGGAUUUGGCCAUUAUCACAAAACAUGAAUUCACUAGAAUCCAUUGGUGCUGUGUUACAUACCAUUUGGAAACAUUAUUCAACACUGUGGACAAGUAUUUGUACUGGUAUAAGUAUUUUCUGCAUUGCUAGUAUUACCAUCUAAUAAUUUAAAAAACCUAUAUAGUGUGUUACAUUUUCAACGCCUUGUGAUCUUUAAUAAGUUAAUGUUACAAUCUCCAUAUGAGAUACAUAGGUGGUUCUCAUUUUAUCCUCUCCUAGCAUCCUUUAGUAGAGUCCAGUAGGAUGCACUGGGGGUGUGACUUGAAAGCACUGUACUCUGAGAAUCCCUGCUCCUUCUACUAAAGCAUGGGAAGUCACAAAAUAUGUCUCUUGAGACAUCUCUUCCUCUCACAAUAAGUUCUUAGGGGUGCUCUGUUUUGCCGUCUUGCCCUGUUGUUAAUGACGUUGCAUAUGUCCUCUUCCCCUGCUGUUACUGCUUCUGCACACCAGAAAAGCUAGCUGAGAGAAGUUAAGAGCCUAGUUUUGCAAGGCAUGGAAUUGAAGAUGCUCAAUACCUCACAUGAUUAGGCCUCAAAUGAUUUGCCAAAUGUCACACACUAAAAGUCAGCAGCAGAGCCAGGGUUAGAAAUAAGGAAUAUCUGGCUCUUUGCUUUAUGAUUGUUCCAUUACAUCGCCUUACUUCUCUGUUUAAAAAUAACUUUUUGUAUUUUCCAAGUGCCCUGAAGUGUGCUGUCUGCCUUACAAAGCAAGUAAAGACAUGGUCCCUGGUCAACAAGACACAAUUAGUUAGGGUAAUAAGAGAAGAGGGGAGGGAAGGACAAGGAUGAGAAUUAUAAGAUGAUAUGGCUAUUCAGUUAAGCAGAGGGGUCAUGGAUCAGUGUUCACAUUGCACUCCCCAUCAGUACCUGGCCCAAGCUGGGGAUGCUAAUGAUCCAAAUAGCGGACCAGAUUCGGUGAUGAAUCCUGGUCACAUGCCACCUGAGGCAUGUUGCACAUCCGCUAAAAAGAAGAAAUCAGGCAAAUACACAUCUUAAUGGUUCUGUUGUUGGUUUUUGUUUACCUUUCCUGCCCCUCAUCCAUCAUAGGCAAAAUGGCAGAAGUGAUUUUUUAGGAGGGAUUGAAAUGAAAAGAGGGAGGUAGGGUGAUCAGAUGUCCCGAUUUUAUAGGGACAGUCCUGAUAUUUGGGGCUUUUUCUUAUAUAGUCACCAAUUGCCCCCUACCCUGAUUUUUCACACUUGCUAUCUGGUCACCCUAGAGGGAGGUGACUUAACCAACAGGUUUGGAGGGCAGUAUUUGGGUAUAAGGGACAACCUGAAAGAAGACACAAGGACCUUUGUAAGAAAAAUUAGUGUGGGAGUGAUGUGCAAAGGACCCACAAAUCAUAAAGGUAGGUAGAGGUUGUGCCAUAUCAUCCUUGGAAGACUAGAAGUUAGAAUUUAAUGUGCAGUGUAGUGGGUAGCCCGUGAUGUGUCUCACUGAGGAGAGUGACACAGUGGAAAAGACAGAUGGUUUGGCAGCAGUAUUUUGGAUUAACUGGUUGGGGUUGAAGUUAGGGUGCAUUACAGAGUGCUGUAGAGUAAGAAUGUGGACGUGGGAUUGGAAUAGCAAAUGAUGCUAUAGUUCAGAAUUGAAGAGCAUUGGUAGAUCUUCCUGGGAAUCCAGAGAAAAGAAUCUGUUUUCAGACAAUAGAUGCAAUCACAACAUAGUCACAUUAAUACAACACCGGAACUAGAUCCCUGGUCCAUCAGCAGCUAAAACAGAUUUCUAUUCCUUAAACUUAAAGGAGAGCCAUAGGUAUAUAUUAACAGAUGUCAGACACUGCGUAUGCAGCAGCAAAGAACUUCCCCUAGCGAAGAGUUUAUAAUUUAAAGACAUAAAUAAGUACAAUACAAAUAGUAAUGAACAACAUGGUAUAUGGAUGUGAUUGUGCAGAUAGACUUCACAGAAUAUGUGGGAUUCUCAAGUGAAUUGAAAGACAAGCCGGUGUAUUACAGGGGAUUGAACAUCAUCUAGUGUUGUGGAACCCUCUAUGGGAUUCUAUAUCCUGUAAUACACAAAGAUCUGAAUUAAAGAUGUUGCCACAGUCCUAACUUAGAAUUUUCCUUAAAAAAUACUUUAAAAAAUCUAGAAGUGUACUCAUUUUGUUCAGUCUCCUAAUCUUUUAAUCUGUUUUAAAUUUCAGAAGCACUUCCCACUCUAAUUCAAUUUUAAAUUACAGCUGGCAUUUCUAAGCCUGUUUCUAGUGGCAGCCAUUUUGCUAAAAAGGCAAUAUAAUCUGUGAU